rnacentral:lncRNA from 1 species
ACCCUGUCUCAAAAAAACAAGCAAGCAAACACAAAGAGGAAGAGAUAGAAGAGGAGGAAGAGGAAGAAGAAAAUAGAAAAUGACUUUUAGUUGUUCUUUUACUUACAUUUUUGUCUGAAUUUGUGCUUUACGGUUACAUUUUGCUCUUACCUCCGUUUCCCAAGUCUUGCUGCCAGUCUCUGUUUAUUCAGACACAGCCCCUCCUCCCACCUCACUGGGGUCUCUCCAGCCCUUAGGCUGCUGGAAUCCCCCGUGCCUUCACACAACAGACUGUCCUAGGUUUUCUCACAGUGUUCUGAUUUUCUUAGAUAACUUUUUUUUUUGGUCAGUCUUUGAAGUGUCCAGAUCUGAUCCUUUAGCCAGUCUUGUAUUGCUAAGAGCCUUGUCUUCCCUCUGCAGAUCAGUUAGGAAUGUGACAGAAUUGAAGAGACCCACGACACAAGGAGAAAACAGAAGCUUAAGAAUUAAUGACCCUCCUCACAGAGAGCCAGGCUCUCAGCCUUUGAAAUAACUCUGUUUUAGGCAGUUCUUAGGGUUUGUCUCUGGAUUCUCCUGUACAGAAACAGUAUGAUAUGGCACUGGGAAAUUAUUUCACCAUUUAUUGUUUCUUUAAAAAAAAAAAGGUUUCUGAGGAAAAAAGUUAAAAAUGAAAGCUUGGCUUUCAAAGUUGUAAGAGACAAGCACUGUAGUGUUUCAUAUGCCAUCUACCAAAACAUGACCUUUACUUAGAACCAAAGUAGAAUAAGGAGUAAGGAGAGAAUGUGUUUGUUGGAAUAACUUUUUUUUUUCACUUACAGGGAGAAAAAAUAAUUGGCCUCCUCUUCCUAGCAAUUUUCCCGUGGGACCUUGUUUCUAUCAAGACUUUUCUGUUGACAUUCCUGUAGAAUUCCAGAAGACGGUGAAGCUUAUGUACUACCUAUGGAUGUGUGAGUAUACAGCACUUCUGCUUAUAAAACACAGAUACAUAUGUAAACGCAUCGUGAGUUCAUAUUUCCAUUAGUAGUAGAUACCUUUUAGGAAAUGCUAUAUUAAAAUGCAUAUUAAAUGUCCUUUCAUAUAGAACUUAAUAGUCAUAGCUUCAGAGUGAACAGUAUAUUUAGAUUAAAAAAAAACAUUGUGUAAGUUUUUGGCUGAGGAAAGCCCACACAUCAAACACCAGCACUGACUCGGUGAAAGGCAACUUGUCUGUCACAUGGGAGGAUUUCCCAGAGAUCUUUUUCCUUUGAAGAAUAUUUUCUAGGCAUGACUUGCUUUGGCAAAAUUAUGCAUCCCAUUUCUAAUACAAAGGAGUACCAUUUAGAGUCUAUUAAAUGUGGGCAUUCUGGCUGUUUUUAGGAAGAGUCCGAAGCUACUGUGAUGUGAACUGUAACUUUAAAAGUUGCUUUGGGCAUAGCUUACCUUUCAUCUUUAAGUGGCCGUGAAUACUUUUAUUCUUGAAAUUGCUUUAUAUGGGACAGUUUAAUCAACAAAUCAGAGUUUGUUUUCAGCUGGGAUGUUUGUGAUCUUUGAGUAUAACUACAACUCUGAAACGUGAAAUGUGUCAGGCAGCUAAAGGUUUGCUGUGUAUACACAGACGCCCACUUAGUCCCUGAUUUGUGUCCCAAACAGUCUCAGCCCUAUUUGGAGAGUCUGUCAGGAGAGCGGGUGACAGUGUGGUCCCUCAUCUGCUGGGCAGAUGGGGCAGUGGGUAAUCUGUAGGUGCAUCUGCUGGGCAUCUGCUGGGCAGAUGGGGCAGUGGGUAAUCUGUAGGUGCGUCUGCUGGGCAGACGGGGCAGUGGGUAAUCUGUAGGUGCGUCUGCUGGGCAGAUGGGGCAGUGGGUAAUCUGUAGGUGCGUUCCUUCCAAAGAAAGUGUGUGGGUUUUACUGGGUGAUUAGUGAGACUUUAGUGUCCAGCUUCUCUCAAGUGGAUAUUAUCAUUUUCUUCAAACUCAUUCUUCAUUGCUGGCCUAUGAAAAACAAUUGUUUAUGGACAUUACUUUUGUUAUAGUUUUAAAAAGAACAUUUGUUCCCAUAGUCAAUAAAAUUACCGUGGAUAUUACUUCAGGGUUGUUUGUUUGUUUGGUUUUUUGUUUUGUUUUGUUUUGUUUUUUGAGAUAGGGUCUCUUUAUGAAGUCUUGGCUGUCUGGGAACUGGUUUCAUAGGCCAGGCUGGCCUUGAACAUAGCAAUCCAUCAAUGUCUGUUCCCUGAGAGCUGGGAUCAAAGGCAUGCAGCACCACACCCAGCUGGCUAUAACUUUCAAACUUUUAGUUUCUUGUUGAAAUUUUGCCUUGGUAUCAGUAGUAUUCUGUAUGUUUCAUACUUCUAUAUGUGCACACUAGCCAAUUCCUGUGUUUUAAUUAUUUCUGUGUGUCAUAUAUGUAUUUGUAUUUUUUGUAUAUGAAUUUUAAAAAUAGACAUAGUAUUUUAGGCAUAAGUUAUUUAACUUAAUUUUUUAUGGUAAAGAGGUAGAAAGAAAACUCUACAAUAGAUUUAAUAAAUGGAAGUUGAUUAGGAAAGAUGGCUAAUGUUAAUGUAACUGCUAACGCUGAUGGUUUCAGAGCAGGUGUGCUGGGCCUUGAGAGUGCACAGCUUUCAGAGUAUCUCAGAGUCGUGCAGGUAGUUGUAGGUUUUCCCAGUCUCACUCGUAAUUUGCAAUCUUUUUUGAAACAGGACUCAAUAUUUUCGUUAGGGUUCUGUCUCCAGGAAGCAUCGCUUGGAGUGAAGUACUAGCAGCUCAGGAAGGGCAGACACUGUGGGAGUGUGGUACCUUCUAAAGUACCAACCUGGGAGCAUUUCGGGGCUGACUGAAGCUGUGCUAUUCAUUUAUUCAUUCAUUCAUUCAUAGUGAUUGGUAGCAUUUGUUGGAGAUGGAUUUCAUGCCCCAGCCACAUCCUCCAGUAGGUAUUACGUUACUUAGUCUUAGAGAAGCCAAAGCUUUGACAGUCUGGGGUAGUUGUUUGGCAUUGUCCAAAUGGGCCAACAUUAUAUAACUGUGUAACAAGGUAUCCCGAUAGCGUGGUUCUUAAGCCCAGGGUUAGAGUCAACUACGGUAUGCCAUCUACAGAGUACCAAGAUGAAGAAGUGAUUUCCAUUUAGUGAAUACAAUGAAGAUGUGCUUCAAUGAUCCCUUAAUGGAAGCAGAUAAUGGAAGCCGCAGUUGAACCAUAGCAACUAGAACUAUCACUGUGAAGUGAUAGUUAACCUUUCUGAAUGUGCUUUUGAAUUUAAGAAAAAAAAUGAAAAGCAAACUGUGGACCCCAGCCACCAGGUAGCGAAGGAGGACUGCUGCUUGGAACCUCUCCUUUUGUGUUUUGGAGUUCAAGAAUCACAUGGUACUGGCAGUUGCAAAUUCAGGCUCACUGAUCCUGGCUUUGAGACCCUCAUAAUGUGAAUAAAUCUCUCACAUAAAAAAGUGUAGCUUCUCUUAUAAAUCUGUGAACAUGACUGGAACACUUGUGUAGUGUUGGCCUGUCCUCAGCCUCUGACAGCAUCGACACAUUGAGAUCCACAGCACAGAUGGCAGAGUGUACAUACUUAGCGUUGUGUCUACAUCUGACCCUACACUGGCGGACAGUCAGUCGCACCCCCAGGUACCUGGGCAGCCUGGCUUUUGUACAGUUGAUGACUUGCUGAUCAUGGUUAUUUUAAAAAACAUCUAGAAAAAAUUUGACAUAUUACAAAAGGUUAUUGAUCUUUCCUGUACUCUGAAGUUUUGUGGACUUUAAAAUAUGUAUAUACAGACAUACAUGGUCUUUAUUUUCUGUAAGUAAAAUAGAAAACUUUAAAAAGUUAUCCUUUUAAAGAUUAAAAUUUAAGUUAGAAUGUGCUAACAUUAAAGAACAACAAAAACUUUAAGACAACCAGAAGUCCUUUAGAACUACAAAAUAAUUUCCGAUUUCACAGAAUUUCAGUUAUGUUUUUAAAGUCUUAGAACUCUUUUAUUUUGAGGAAAAAGGAUUUUGAGUCAUUUGAUGAGGAAGCCAGCUUUCCUGAGAAUAUAAACUCCCAGUAGGAAUUGAGUGAUUAGUAGUUUUCUGUGAUGGAAGGGAAUGGGAUUUUUUUUUUUUUUAGCCAGGGCUAUACAGAGAAACCCAGUGUGGAAAAUCC